GAAAAACAAAGGAGAAGGCGGUGGCAGUGCCUCUACUACCAUAACUCCCAAGCAAAUGGUGACAUCUCUUAGGUUUCUCAAAUGAAACCCUUUGAAUAGUUAUUUGUAUGAACCACAAAAAUACCCAGACUGUGAAAACCUGUCGUUUUAGAUGCAGAUCACAGCUUCUUAUGUUUUUUUUCUUUUUCUUUUGGAUAAGGUUAACCCUAC
rnacentral:lncRNA from 1 species